rnacentral:rRNA from 1 species
GACGAACGCUGGCGGCGUGCUUAACACAUGCAAGUCGAGCGGUAAGGCCCUUUUGGGGGUACACGAGCGGCGAACGGGUGAGUAACACGUGGGUGACCUGCCCUCAGCUCUGGGAUAAGCCUGGGAAACUGGGUCUAAUACUGGAUAUGACCUUUCCUCGCAUGGGGUUGGGUGGAAAGUUUUUCGGCUGGGGAUGGGCCCGCGGCCUAUCAGCUUGUUGGUGGGGUGAUGGCCUACCAAGGCGACGACGGGUAGCCGGCCUGAGAGGGCGACCGGCCACACUGGGACUGAGACACGGCCCAGACUCCUACGGGAGGCAGCAGUGGGGAAUAUUGCGCAAUGGGGCGGAAGCCUGACGCAGCGACGCCGCGU